CUGAAUUCUAAGGCCCCAUGUGGCAGCGACCCCAUGGGUGGAUGUGGCAGAUUUAGGCUCCAUGGGACUCCAUUCAGCGAUGGGCGCAGGUCCCGGGCUCCAAGGAGUGGAUGACAUGCACACAAACGGGUCCUCUGCCAGGAACCAGCUCUUGUUUUCCAAAGAUUAGUUUCAAAGGACACGAAGACAAAGGCUUUGCUGAUUUCAACAGCUCACAGCUGGUAAAGAAUGAAGAUUUAUACCCCUAGAGAGAGAGAGAGAGAACGUACAAGUGGGGCAAGGGUCUGAGGGAAAGAAUAUCGAAGCAGACUCCCACUGAACACAGAGCCCAACUCAGGCCUCAAUCUCAGGAGCCACGAGAUUAGGACCCAAGGAAAAACCAAGAGUUUGAC
rnacentral:lncRNA from 1 species